CUCGCUGUAGAGAAACGUGAUCUCUCUCUCUCUCUCUCACUCUCUCACUCUCUCUCUGUGUGUGUGUGUGUGUGUGUGUGUGUGUGUGUGUGUGUGUGCUCUUCCCAUCCAUCAGCUUUACAUCAGCCUCUCAGUUUACACUAUGACUUCUUGUCAUUCACGAUAUAAAGAAUGUAACCUUGAACAUCACGGUUUCCUCCGUUAUUCAGGGGCAGUGAGGAUAAAUCUGUUUUGUUUUGUGUUUUUUCUUCUUCUCACUAACAGCUCGAACUCCACCUGCACUGUACUGUACUGUACUGUAUUGUGUCUCGUAAUAUUGUCCUGGAAGUCAUCUCGGUGUGUUUUUGCGCACUAACACUGCAGGCCGUUUCUGCCCACAUGAGUAAUGAUGGAGUCAUUUCUCAGCAGCUUUUCACAAUUUAAUGAAGGGAAAUUGCUAAAUGCACAAGGCCUGGAUGGGAGUGGUGGGCUGAGGUGAUACUGGAACAGGGGAGACAGCGGUGGAAACAUUUCGAGCAGGUUUUUCAGCUUGGUGAGGUGGUGCAUGUCACAAUAAAUAAAUAAAAAUUAAAUAAAAUAAAUAAGUACAAAUAGAAUUCAAUAUCAACAAGUCUAUUAAAUGAGAGUAUAAUUGCUGAACAUAUUGGCAAAGGACAUGUCAGUACAGCAAACAACAACACUACUACUACUACUACUAAUAAUAAUAAUAAUAAUAAUAAUAAUAAUAAUAAUAAUACAGCCACAGUUACAUGCUGCUGGGGUUGAACAAUUUGACGGUUUAAUAUCAAUUAUCACAAUAUAUGUCAUCAUAAUCUUUUUUUCUGAGAUCUCACCAGAUAUCUUGAUAUCUUUUCCUCUGGUUUUAUGCAUUUAAUAUAAUUUAAAAAACAAUAAAUAAAUAAAAAGAAUUACACUGGUAAUAGAUAGAUAGAUAGAUAGAUAGAUAGAUAGAUAGAUAGAGAGAUAGAUAGAUAGAUAGAUAGAUAGAUAGAGAGAGAGAGAUACAUAGAUACAUAAAUACUAUAGAUAGAUAAAUAGACAGAGAGAUAGAGAGAGAUAGAUAGAUGGAGAGAUAGAUAGACAGAGAGAUAGACAGAGAGAUAGAUAGAUACUGUAGAUAGAUAGAUAGACAGAGAGAUAGAGAGAUACUAUAGAUAGAUAGAUAGACAGAGAGAUAGAGAGAUACUGUAGAUAGAUAGAUAGACAGAGAGAUAGAGAGAUACUGUAGAUAGAUAGACAGACAGAGAGAGAUACUGUAGAUAGAUAGAUAGACAGACAGAGAGAUAGAUACUGUAGAUAGAUAGAUAGACAGAGAGAUAGAGAGAUACUAUACAUAGAUAGACAGAGAGAUAGAGAGAUACUGUAGAUAGAUAGACAGAGAGAUAGAGAGAUACUGUAGAUAGAUAGACAGACAGACAGAGAUACUGUAGAUAGAUAGAUAGACAGAGAGAUAGAGAGAUACUGUAGAUAGAUAGAUAGACAGAGAGAUAGAGAGAUACUGUAGAUAGAUAGAUAGACAGACAGACAGAGAUACUGUAGAUAGAUAGAUAGACAGAGAGAUAGAGAGAUACUGUAGAUAGAUAGAUAGACAGAGAGAUAGAGAGAUACUGUAGAUAGAUAGAUAGACAGAGAGAUAGAAUAGAUAGAUAGAUAGAUCCAGCUACAGGAUUUAUAAGCAUAAUGCCUUUUGUGACAUUUUUAUUCUUCUUCUUUUUUUAAUAGUUGCUUAUUUAUUAAUUAAUGCAUAUUUAUUUAUCUGUAAUUGAACUUAACGAGCAAUCAAACGAACUCCUGAGCACACGCCAUGAAGCAGUUCUGCGCCUCAGCUGGAUUCCAAAUCCCAGUGUCCGCGUCCUCAGGUGCGUAACUUGAUGCGCCACAGAAACCGCAGCACUUAGACACCCGAAACCCCCGUGUGCUCCUUCAUCUCCCUCUGCUCCAUCCUCCUGCUCCACCAGUCCUCUCCACAUACUC
ensembl:lncRNA